rnacentral:rRNA from 1 species
CCUACGGGGGGCAGCAGUAAGGAAUAUUGGACAAUGGGCGCAAGCCUGAUCCAGCCAUGCCGCGUGAAGGAUGAAGGCCUAUGGGUCGUAAACUUCUUUUAUACGGGACAUGGUACUGUAAGAAUAAGGGUCGGCUAACUUCGUGCCAGCAGCCGCGGUAAUACGAAGGACCCGAGCGUUAUCCGGAUUUAUUGGGUUUAAAGGGUGCGUAGGCGGAUUAGUAAGUCAGUGGUGAAAGCCCAUCGCUUAACGGUGGAAUUGCCAUUGAUACUGCUAGUCUUGAGUAUGGUUGAGGUGGGCGGAAUGUGUCAUGUAGCGGUGAAAUGCUUAGAUAUGACCCAGAACACCAAUUGCGAAGGCAGCUCGCUAACCUAACUGACGCUGAUGCACGAAAGCGUGGGGAGCAAACAGGAUUAGAUACCCUUGUAGUC